rnacentral:lncRNA from 10 species
UAUUUUUUUAUAAUGAAAUAAUUUUGGCUAUGAAUUUUCCUAUGAGUACACUUUUAGCCAUGUAGUAAGUUUUUCCAACUGUGAUCUUUCUAAAUAUUCAAUGAUUUGGAUAUUGACUAUGACUAAAUAGCUGUGUGGGGGAACUUAAAAAUCUGCAAGUCAUUGGGAUUUUGUUUGUUGCAGUAAAAUCUUAAAGAUGACCUUUCCCAAUGUUCUCAAAGUGUGGGACAUGCGCUGGUGGUAUGCCAGAAUAUUCUCAGGUGAUACAAUGGACAUAGGAUCACACUUAAAAAACCCAUAUUCUCUUUUCAGUUCUGUGUAUUCCCUGACUGUAUCAAGGUCUCAGUUUGGUGCUUCUGUGUUUGAAUGCCUUCCCAACAUUCACUAAUCUUUGUUUUCAAAUAGAGAAAAGCCUUAGGCUCAGAACCUCUGGAAGGACAUGGUAUCUAGGAAUAACUUAAAAACAUUUUAAUUUCGUGGCUGGGCAUGGUGGCUCAUGCCUGUAAUCCUAGCGCUUUGGGAGGCCAAGGCAGGUGGAUCACCUUAGGUCAGGAGUUCAAGACCAUCCUGGCCAACAUGGUGAAACCCCAUCUCUACUAAAACUACAAAAAAAAAAAAAAUCAGCUGGGUGUGGUGGUGUGCACCUGUAAUCCCAGGUACUCGAGAGGCUGAGGCAGGAGAAUCACUUGAACCUGAGAGGUGGAGGUUGCAGUGAGCCAAGAUCGCGCCACUUCACUCCAGCCUGGGUGACAGAGUGAGACUGUGUCUCAAAAAUAAAUAAAUAAAUAAAAUAAAAAACAUUUUAAUUUCAUUUUAUUUUUAGAGUAAUAAAGCCUUCUCUUUAUGGCAAAUGAUACAGUUUUCUAGAUAAAGUAGUGGUCUCAAGUGUAGUUUACAAGCAAGUCAUUUAAUAAUAAAAAUAUAGCUUAUAAAAAAAGAAUACUUAGAUGAUUUAAGGAACUAUAUUAAAUGAAUAAACGUUCAUGGGGAAAAUUAUGACUAUGUUAUAGAAAUGAUUGAUAUUUGGGAAUCAUUAAUUUAUCCCAACUCUAUAUCCACGCUUGAUCCCUUUUUACCACCAAGCCUACACCUCUCUGUUUGCAUACCUCCUGUGACAGGAGGUUCAUCGUCUCUGAAGACUGUAAAAAAGCAGCAUCCUUAGUUUAAAUGCCCUUCUCCGUUCUCCUGACCUGUGUGCCCUUUGCAGUCUAACUUUGUGAUGUCCUCCCACCGAGGGCAAAGCAUAAUUUCCCAUACCCGGGGUUGAGCAUGUGACUUGUCUUGACCAAUGGGAUGUUAGCAGACAUGCCAGGGCCAGCCCUCAGGAAGAGGAUAAGAGACACCCAAGUCACCCCAGGCAACCUAGCUGAGAUCAGAGGAACCCGGCAGCUGCAUGAGAAAUUAAUGUUUUUGGAUACCACAGGUUUUUUAUGAUUGUGUGUGUGUGUGUGUGUGUGUUUUAAGUGCAGGCAGCAAUAGCUAAUGGUUACAGACACUAGAAGAGAGAGUAAAUAGAACACAGGCAGGCCAAAAAAACUAAAUGUCUACUAUAUUCCGUAUUAUAGAUGAGGAAACAGGUUCAAAGAGAUGAAGACUCUUGCCCAGGGCACCUGGAUGCUAAGCAGUGGAGUUGGGACCUGAACCCAGGCAUUCUGUCUUCAGAACCCAUGCUGGAGAGAAAGCGCUCUGGUCCCUGGGCAGUGAGAGGUAACGAGGCCAGACCACUUCUGCAGUGAAGGCCCAGGCUCUUGCCUGUCACUUUCACGGAGCUCCCAAGCCUGUCAGCAUUCACUGAGAGCGCCAUACCCCUAACUUUAUUCCAACAAGGACUGCUUAUUGUGUGCAUGUAUGUGUAUUUAAUAAUGAUAAGGCACUUGUAUGUCAUAUUUGACAGGAGGGCUUUUUUCUUCCCAAGUUUAAAGCACUACUGGGAAAGAAUUAGUGCUACUGGAGGCAAAAACAAAGGGACCCCAUCAGAAAAGACAGUCUCUGAAACUCUGGGAUCUUAAUUGAACAAUUACCUCUUAUGCCUAUGAAUGGUUCAUUAUUACAUGCCCUGUUAUUAUUAGCUGUUAUUAUUGUUUUAGAUGAAUGCUGGGAAUUUUGUUUUAAUCAAAAGCCAUAUUCAGCCACACCGUUCAUCUCCCUGCAAAAUGCAUGCUUCUGACAUUUCCGAAUGUGAUAAUGUCGUAGUCGGCAGUCAGUCCCCGCACCUCGCCCAGAUAACGGUGUACUCGGAUCAUUUCAGUUGUCUGGAUGGAGUGGUUAAAUACUCCAGGAUUGAGGGGUGGAAGGCUGGCUCAGGAGAGGCCAGGCUGGGAGUCUUGUGUUCUUAGAGGGAAUCAGAGAAAGGGGGAAGCAAUAUGGAUAAGGCAACUGCCAUGUGUUAGACGCCGUGCUCAGUGUUUGGGAUUCAUAAUCUCAGGAACCGUGUGCGGGAGCUCAUGAACCAGUGUUUGUACCAUCCUAGAAAUCAUGCCCCCUCUUUGUUACAACACCUGAGCCAAUCACCAUGACUCUCCUUCCCUUACUAGGUAUCGGUGUGGGAAUAGCCAUGUGACCCAGUUUUGCCCCAUGAGACAAGCGGGGAGGUCUGCUGGGGGAGGGGGAAUUCUGGGAAAAGUUUCUGGGAAAGUAAGAGAAAUCUAGGAAAAGACUGUCCUCUCUGUUGCUGGUCACUAUUGCAUCUGGAUGUGAUACCCGGAACUGCAGCAGCCACUUUGUGCCCCUGAGGGGCCUUGACAGAACACAAAGAUGAAAAGGACAUUGGUCCCUGAUGACACCAUUGAGCUGCUGCUUUAACCAACUGUGAGGCCACCCUGCCUUAAGGCUUCUUAUGAUUAUUCCAGAGAAUAAAUGUUCUUUCUCAUUUAAACCAGUUGAGUCAGGGGGAUUUUCUGAUAUUUGGCCCAAAUCAUGCUGAUACAAGUACAAAUUUGUAUCCCCAUUUUACAGAUGAAGAAAGUGAGACCCAAUCAAGUAAAUGCCCAUGACUAAGGACACAUAGCCUGGAUGUGGUGGAGUUGAACCUUUCUAGGGCGUGGCAGGAUUUUUUUUUUUAAAUAUACUUAGUGUUUUUGGCCUUUCCAAAGCAGGCACACAUUCUAUUUCUCCAUAGCAGCAGGCUGUAAUGGCUGCUAACAGGUAAGGGCAGGAGAGGUUGGGGUUUGGAGCGGGGACUCAAACCCAGGUCCGCAGAUCUCAGCUUAGGGUCUUCUUAGCACCUCAAGGUUCUUAGUGACAUUAGGGAGUCCCCGUUCUGUUGGCACCGCUUAGUUUUGGGGGUACACCCCUUGGAUCCCACAGAUCUGCCCUUGGCUAGCACAGGGUAAGGCUGCUGAGGUCCCGGAGAUUGGUCACCAGGGGCCGCUGUUGUCACACUCAGGGGCCUCCUCAGAGGGGUUCAGAAGGAAGCUUGGAACCUGGGGAUGUGAUCAGGAAGACUCCCUGUGAGCACCCUGUUGGGUGUGCCCUGAGGCUUUGAGACAGGAAAUAUCCCACCCCCACCCUCGUACCCUCACCCCAAGAAGGAGAGAAGGUGGCCUCGACUGCCUCUGGAGCGUUCAGGACCAAGUUGCUGUGUGCCUUCAGGCAAGUUGCCUCCCCUCUCUGAACCUCAGUUUCCUCUCUUUCAAAAUAAGAGUACUCACCCCUACUUCUCAAAUGUGGCUUCUUCCUCUUCCCUGAGGGCCUUCCCCUUCUUUUGUGCCUAAUUCAAUAUGAGGGACAGGACCAGUUAGGGCGUACUAGAAAUGAGACCCAGCCACCCAGGUCAGGGUUGGGUUCCAGUCCUUGCUCUGCCACAAACUCAUUAUGAGUCCUUGCAGUGUAAUUGGGGAAACUGAGGUCCAGAGAGGAGAAAGGACUUACCCAGUUUCCCCAAUUGCAAUACAAGAGGCAGGACUCAGCAUUUCCUGAAGUCUUGUUUGUUCCAUGGGGUGUAAAUAGGUGGAAACAAAAACUUAGGUGGUCAAAAAAGUUAGGGAAAUGCUGGGUUAAAGCUAAAAGGGGGCUGGGCGUGGUGGCUCAUGCCUGUAAUCCCAGCACUUUGGGAGGCCUUCAAGGCAGGCAGAUCACUUGAGGUCAGGAGUUUGAGACCAGCCUGGUCAACAUGGCAAAACCCCAUCUCUACUAAAAAUACAAAAAUUAGCCAGGUGUAGUGGAGCAUGCCUGUAAUCCCAGCUAAUCAGGAGGCUGAGGCAGGAGAACCACUUGAACCUGGAAGGCAGAGGUUACAGUGAGCCGAGACUGUGCCACUGCAAAGAAGUUAAAAGGGAAUCUUGCCUGCAGGAUCUGUUAGCAUCUUUAAUAUGUUAAUGCGAUUUGUGUAUCUCCAAGAGCCGGGAUAGGCAUCUGUUUCUCAAACUCUUUUGACUGGGAAACCCACUUUCCAAGGUGACUUGGAAGUCAGCUGCACUAGGCAAGGAUGGGAAUACUCCACCUUUGUUAUAUGUCUUUUACCUAAUGGCUCUGUGCUACCCAGGGGAUUUGACCACCUGUCUCCUAAGUUAAACCUCACAUGGUACAUACAUUAAAAUAUUAGCCUCAUUUUAUUUUAUGAGACGAGGUCUUGUUCUGUUGCCCAGGCUGUAGUGCAGUGGUGCGAUCAUGGCUCACUGCAGCCUUGACCUCCUGGGCUCAAGUGAUCCUCCCACCUCAGCCUUCUGAGUAUCUGGGACUACAGGCACACACUACACCCAGCUAAUCUUAAAAUUGUUUGUACAGAUAGGGGUCUCGUGAUACUGCCCAAGCUGGUCUUGAACUCCUGGGCUCAAGUGAUCCUCCAGCCUUUGCUUCCCAAAGUGCUGGGAUUACAGGUAUGAGCCACAGCUCCCCGUUGGAGCCUCAUUUUACAGUUGGGAAAUAGAUGACUCAGGAGUGAUCACUUGCCUGAGGUCACACACACCUGCACACAGCCUCAGGAUGGAACGAGUUCUGACCCUCAGACAACUACAUCCCACAGCACUCAGAGGGGUCCUCUUACAGGACGAAUCUGCCCUAUCAUCCUGACCACACAUCACCUGAUGCCACCUCACUCCUCCAGGUGCCACCACUUCCUUCAACAGAUCUGGAAAUUGAGGCUCAGAGAGGCACACAAGUCACCCAGGGUCACACGUGGAGUCAGUGGGAUACUAAGUUCCGUUUUCUUGCCUCCUCCCCUCCCCCUGCCACUCGCUGGCGAGCUGGUGAUGGUGGCAAUUUAAACAGAAAACCUUUCGUCCCUUGCUCUCACCUAUCGCGCUGGCUGGACUCCACCUUCUCCGGCCAACGUUGGGGGUGGGACGGGGUGUGGGCCCUUUAAGAGCGCCCGGGAGGGAUGGGCAGGCGCAGUGGUGCUGGGCACACGUGGAGCUGCGCGUGGAGGAGUCCAGGCUGCAGCCGAGGGAGCUGAGUAGGGCAAAGUUAGGAGUCGCUGUUUGGAUGGCAAGUUCAGAAGUUGGAACUUGUCUCAGUUUCCCCGCUCCAGAAAUGGGGUUGUGAUAUAAAGACAGGGAUAUGAGUGAAGAAAACACAGAGCCACCCUGGAAAGGUGAGUGUCUACUAACAUAGCUUCCUCUAUCCAAAUCUGCGCCUGAGCCCCCGUGGCCUUCUGGGGCAGCUCUGAUCUCUCUGUAAGGUCACCUGUCUCUGACCUGGGGUGAUCUUCUAAUGGUCACUAUGACAGGAAGUGAUAGCCGAGGUUUUCUGCACACCAGGCUACCGUAUUGGACAGCUCCGUGGUAAAGGGUGUGAGCCCAGGACAGCUAAGUAGAGAGAGAAGGAUCCUAGUGUCAGAACAGAGACCUAGAGAAGGACUGCAGCUCCUGCCCGGGGCCUGGAUGAGAUGGUGGCUUCUCCUCUCUUUCUCCCUCACCCACCGGGAUGUCUGGGCAGUUGGGGCUCUGGGAUCCAAGGCUGUGCCUGGGUUCUGGAGCCAAAUUGGCCACAUUUGGCGGUUGACAGUUGUUUUCUAUUCUCUGCAAAGGGUUGCAGCUGGGAACUAGGACUCAGAAUCAGACAGGCCUGUGUUCUAUCCCAGCCACUUCUCCAUUCUUCAUCCUCAGCUGUGUGACUUUGGGCAAAGUGAUUGCCCUUCUGUGGGUCUCACUAACCUUGUCUGUAAUGUGGGUGCAUGCACCUCUGUUGCGCCGAGUGGUUGUGAGGCACAAGUAACGUUUAGCCCCGAGCCUGGUAUCUGGUCUGCCUGUAGUUAAGUGUGGGAUCUCAGUAAUUGUAGCAGUGAUAGCAAUGCUUUCGUCACCUGUCCUCCCCCCAUCAAUGUGGUAAUCAAAGGUGAUUGAUUGUAUAAAGAAACCAUGCUAGAAUGGCCACCGGAGGGCACUUUGAGAUCAGCCAGCCCAGUUCCUAGAUGGGGAAACUGAGGCCCAAGGAGGCACAGGUAGUCAGGGCUAGAGCCCCAGCUGGGUUCCUGGGCCCAGACCCAGACUGUGCCAUGCGCCCCUACAUUGCCACGCACACAGACCCCACCCUGUGGAGGAUGAGGAGGUUUUUCCAGGAUAGCAGGUGCAUCCUUUGCUCUGAUAUCCAAAUAUGAGGGACCGGGCAUGGAGAGUGGCUCCAGCCUCUCCCGUUUCCCCUCUCCUGAUGCCCCAGUGUGGGUACGCCUGGCAGUUGACCAAGGACAUGGGGACCUGGGUGACCAAGUUGGUGCUUGGGUGGCCCCAGUGGUGACACCUGGGAACAGCUGAGACAUAGGCCACCUCCCAGUGUAACACCUGGCCCUAGACCUUGGUUUCCUGCCCCACUCCCUCCCCGAGUGCUCACACUGUGCUUUUGUCUGCUUGAAUUCCAUCUCUGGUUCUGGUGCCGCCCCCCCUUGGGAAAUGGAUUGGUUAGGGUCACUCACGGUGGCAUUAUCAGGAUUGGAACCCAAGUCUAGCUCACUGCAGAGGCUGGGCCUGCUGGGCUUGCCCCGUCCAGGCUCCCCCGGGUUCCGGCUGCACCCAGGCGGGCUUUGAUUAUGAAUGAGGGUGGGGGUGGGGCUUGCAGCCAGAACACCUCGCUCCCUCUCAACAUCCUCGUGGCCGUUGGUCAGGUUGUGUCCUCAUCUGUAAAAUGGGCCUGAUUUUAUCAUCUACCUGAUAGACUCAAGUGAGGUCAGAAAAGCACUCUGUCAAUUGCAGUUUAUACUAGUUAUGUCCUAUUUGUGAUGAUUCCCGGUUGCCUUCCAUGGAGCUCUGCUUUUCCCAGCUCCUCACCCUGCAGGGCCCGGCUCCUGCUCCCCAGGGGCUGGGGUGAUGUGCUUGGCUCAUUGACCCAGUGCAGAAGGGCCUGGGUCCCGCCCUGGACACAGUCCCUUCCUCUCGGAGCCUCUGUUUCCUCUUCUGUGGACUGGGUAGCAUGUGCUGCCCGACGUGGAUGCCUGGUCUCAGGGAGGUGGACCACCCACCACAGAGUCGAAUCCAAGGCGUCCCCUCUGUCCCCAUCUCUGCCCUGGACUUCACCAUUGCCAGCCACCCUGGCAGGGCUCUGUGAAUGGGAGGGGAGGCCUGCCUUAGCCGGAAGUUCUCCAGUGCCUCCGGCCCUGAUAUUGGGCUAGGAGGCUGGGAGAGAAGAGCUGGGAGGAGGCGAAGGCAGGAACGGGACACAGGGAAGAGUCCAUGCUGUGAGGUUUGAACCCUAGCCUCCCACAGAUUUGCUGUGUGACCUCGCACAGAUCACUACGCGUCUUAGUUUUUUCCUCUCGAACGCCUCCCACCCUGCAAGGGUGUUGUGAGGCUUUGGCAAGAUACAGUAUGUAGGAAAAUGCCUGGUGCACAGCCAAGGCCUAAUAAAUGCUGAGCUCCCUGGGGCAGCAGUGGUCUCCUGCAAAUCCCCAGGCACCAGAGCAGGGGGUGGGUGGGCACUGGGGUGUCUGGCCUGGCUGAGAUGGGGUUGGCCAUGGAGAUGGCUGCUGCCUAGCCACUGUGGCCUGUCCCCAGCCCCACUGCCACCAUGGCCCCUUGGAGCAUGCCAGGCACAAGGAAGAGCUGGGAAGAAAUUGUGAUGGAGGGGAGAUGCCCCCGCCGAGACCACCAUGAAGGGAAUGAGGAAGAGGGCCCCCGUUUGGUUCUGUCUCUGCUGCUCUAGGGAUCGACUGAUGGCCGUGACCUAGCAGCCAUCAGCCUGUGUGCUAAAUGACAAUGUCCAUCUUGAAAGAGCUGGAAUAGGGGAAGCACUGAGGGCAGGAUGCUCCACGCACAGGAGGUACCCGGAGGUUCCUGGCCUGCUUCCCUCCCGGGCUGCAAGCCUGGUCAGCUGGGAGGAGACAGCCCCUUUCACUCCUAAGGGGAGGAAGAAAGAAAACGAAAACAAGAGCUACAAAAGCAACCCGACAGCUGAGACACCAUCUGUGUUUUCCUUUUUCUUCUUUCUCUUCGUU